rnacentral:rRNA from 1 species
CCUACGGGAGGCAGCAGUGAGGAAUAUUGGUCAAUGGUCGGGAGACUGAACCAGCCAAGCCGCGUGAGUGAUGAAGGUACAGAGUAUCGUAAACCUCUUUUGUCAGGGAACAAAGGCGGGGACGUUUCCCCGGAUGAGUGUACCUGAAGAAAAAGCAUCGGCUAACUCCGUGCCAGCAGCCGCGGUACUACGGAGGAUGCGAGCGUUAUCAGGAUGUAUUGGGUUUAAAGGGUGCGCAGGCGGUCUGUUAAGUCAGCGGUCAAAGCCCGGGGCUCAACCCCGUCCCGCCGUUGAAACUGGCAGUCUUGAGUUGGAGAGAAGUAUGCGGAAUGCGCGGUGUAGCGGUGAAAUGCAUAGAUAUCGCGAAGAACUCCGAUUGCGAAGGCAGCAGGCCGGCUCCACACUGACGCUGAGGCACGAAAGCGUGGGUAGCGAACAGGAUUAGAUACCCCUGUAGUC